GGCUUGGUUAGAAUGAGACUCCCCACUCCAUCGGCAUGGUUGACUUUCAAUUCAGCAGGUUCAGGGUUCGAAUCCCUUAGGGGCUCACCA
rnacentral:tRNA from 1 species